AAUGAACGCUGGCGGCGCGCCUAAUACAUGCAAGUCGAGCGAGAAGACGUAGCAAUACGCUUGUAAAGCGGCGAGCGGGUGAGGAAUACAUGGGUAACCUACCCUAGAGUGGGGAAUAACUAGCCGAAAGGUUAGCUAAUACCGCGUACGCUCCUUGGACUUCGGUUCAGGGAGGAAAGCGAUGCCGAGGGUAUCGCGCUCUUGGAUGGGCUCAUGUCCUAUCAGCUUGUUGGUGAGGUAACGGCUCACCAAGGCUUCGACGGGUAGCUGGUCUGAGAGGACGAUCAGCCACACUGGCACUGCGACACGGCAGACUCUACGGGAGCAGCAGUAAGAUAUUGCGCAAUGGGCGAAAGCCUGACGCAGCGACGCGCGU
rnacentral:rRNA from 1 species